CUAACCGCCGUCGCCAUCACGACCGCCGUGGCCGUAUGCAGAACCGGUGCCUUUUGCCUCAUCGAUGGUACUCCCGUCCCCCGAGACGCUUGCAAGACGUUGGCGACCAUUGUCAGGCGUUGUCGUGCGACUAGCUUCAUCGCCGGCGCCAUUUUCUUUCGCAGGCAGGCCGCCGUAAACGAGAAAGUCGCUUUGCUUUUUCUUUCUUUUCGCAGGACGCUCUUUCUUCGCGGCUCCUACUCCGUCAACCGGGGUGAGACCCCUUUGUCUUCGAGGCACGCGCGCAUAGCUCGAAGAGCACGGGUCUUAUCUGGCGCGCCGCGCAUCUUACCGCGAAGUCCCGGAGGAACCCAGUGCGCGUGUGCGUUGAAGGGGGCGGGAUGUCUUGUUUAGCGUGGGCCGGUGGAUGCAGCGUCACCGAUAGCGCGCUCCCGCGCGCCUCUCUCUUCCCCUCCCCGUUCAUCCUCCUGCCGUCCAGUUUUCCCAGGCAGUUGUUGCCUUUGCUUUUGCCUCUGCUGCUACUGCUGCUGCUGCUGCUCUAGUCAGGCGUGAGCGAUCACCCAGUGGAUAUAUAGUCAUCAAAAGCCCCGACGUUCUGCGAAAGACUCGCCAGCAGCUGCAGCUCUGCACGUUUUAUCGACAACUUUGAAGUAACCGAGUGCAUAUGACGGAAAACAAUCUUGUGAAAAUACAUCCGGUUGAGUGGAGACUACAGCUGUCACGCAGGGACUGUGCAAACAACGCAUGGAGGAAGGAGAUUUGUCUGCCAUUCCUAGGUGUGUUAUCAGCUCGGUAAUGGCUUCUACGUGCUUGAAGAGGAGUCCUCCAGUCGCUCUUCAAGGUGUGGCAAUGCAUACAGGUCGCACUUCAACCUUCUGCGCAUCGGGAAACACGGGCAACUGAAGGCUCCAGCCUCGAUGCAGACGGGAGAUAGGAGCUGCUUGCAAAAGGGAUAAAAGAGGGGGAGAAGCCUGGCGUGGCUCGUCCCUGCUUGGACCAGAGUGGUGGGCAGUUAUCUCCAAUAAAAGAAAAUAGUAAAUAAUAAAUAACAGCAAACCUUUCAACCUAAAUUGCCGAAAUACCUACUAGAAACGCACACGACAUGCGUUAGGCGUUGUUACUCUGUUAUACGGCACGAGAAGCGGCAGAACUCACUUAUUAUGACAUAUUCCAUUGGUCGCCUCGGAACUCUCUGACAGUUUGUACGAAAGCCGUCAAAGAGCGCUUUAUAUGUAGAUUACUAGAAUGAACAGGGCUAGCAGCGAUAACCGCGGGCUUUACUAUAGAAAACCAGCGCUGUCCAGGAGGUGCUACGGCCAUUUGUUUGACUACUAAAUUAUGGUGUGGCGGUCCGAUAAGGACGCCAAAUAAUGGUACGAUAUUUUGAACGAUGACAGACGCGCAUCUGUGUCAACAAUUGAUAGAUCCCGCCAAGACUGGUUAAGUUGUGUUCGUAGCGAUGCGCAUUCUGAAAAACCCAUGCCCUCAUAUGUCAUACAUGCGCUCAAGCACACCAGCUCUCAGUCAAGUCAGACGUUGGAUAUAUGUGCCUCAAGAUGAGCGGUAAAUUGUGCAUCAAGAUGAGCGGUAAAUUGAC